AUGGUAGCAGGCAGUGUUUUUUCUGUUCUGUUUUGUUGUUUAAUCACCGGCAUAACAGGCUAAUGAAGUAACACUGCCAAGGCUACUGUAUAAUUCCUUUUUGGGAGCCCAGAAGACACUGGACCUGGUUCAAGGGAGGGAAGGUACAGACUAAAUUUGGGUGGGCUAAUGACCCUGAGGUCAGAUUCAAUCAGCAGAUUGCAUCGUUUCCCAUUCCUUAUUCCCCAGAGAGGAGGCAGGAAAUGGUCGUUCAGGCAAGCUGCUGCCUCUUGCUCCUGCAGCUGUAGUGACGCCUGGAUACUGGCGCUAUUGCAACAUCAGCAAGCCCUGUGAAAAGAAGGAUGUUUCCACCUCCCGGAGUGGAGAAGCCUGGACCACCUCCCCAGGGGUCCCAAACAUUUGGCUCCCAGGGCCUCCCAAACAGAGAUUCUCCUCUACAGCUUAAAGGAAAAGCCACAUCACCCCCGACAGAGACACUUCAGCACAGCUGAGAAGAACGGAGGUUCCCAAGUGAAACUGGGGUGGCUGAGGCAGAUGGAGCUGGGUUUGAGCUCAGUGGUAUUCCUGUAACCCUGAGGUGCAGCUCUUAUCCUGAGCUGCUCCUGAGCCAGCAUUGCUAUGUCUGUCAAUGGUCUCUCCUGAUCUCACGUUACCUGCAGCGGUGAAAAUGAUCACAGCUUGGUGUCCUAGCUAGGAUCACACUACAGUAGUCAUGUAGCGUUUGCAUAUUGUGCAUGCAGCAGGCCUACUGAAAAGGAAGGAGGUUCCGUUUUCUUCCACCAGAGCAGACCCAGGAAGUCAUUUUAAAAUAAGUCAUUCAAAGGAUAACCAACUUGCCUGCCACAGAAAUGGGAUCUGUGGUUUGCUUGUAGACAUUUUUUUCCUCUAAAAAUUGUUCAAGCUACUGUAGUUUCUGGUGUGACAAAAAUGCUGAUGAGAAAAGUGGGCUGGAUCAUGUACCAGUUAAAUAGCUGGAGGGAGCAUAGCAGCAUCCACAGCUUACGCUUAACUGACAGCAACAGAGCAGGAGAGAACUAGGGACAUCAGAAGACACCGAGCAGGGAGACAUUUGAGACAGAAAAAGGUGGUGACUGGGGGAGGAGGGGGAUGUCCUCAGAACUGCAUGUUCAUGUAUCAGAUUAACCAUAAAUUAAAAGAAGUAGCUUGCAAAGAACUUCUGACCACCUCUCACAGGUCUCUAUAUUAGCAGGACACCUCACACCCUGUGCUGACACAUACUCUGUUGUAUUCCCCUUUUCCAGCCUUUCUGCUGCCCUCAUCCUCCUUCUCAGACCAAAUCCUGUCUUCUCCUGCAGAUCAGGCAGGUGUCAAUGCGAGCCAGUGCCAAGCUGCACACACUGCCAUAAGGAGCAUGAUGUGAACAAUGUUAUGAUGCGAUCUGUAGCAUGAUCCUAUUCCUGCUGAAGCUGAUGGAAAGACUUCUGUUGCUGACAGCAGGUGUCAGACUGACAUUCGAGUCACACCAUGGAGUCAUCCUGCUGCAGAGCAGCAGCGUGGUAGGAGGAAUCAGGUGAUUAAAUCUGAUUUGCAAAGCUGCCUCG